rnacentral:lncRNA from 1 species
AGACUGCGCCCUGGACGCCCCAGCCUAGACGUCAAGUUACAGCCCGCGCAGCAGCAGCAAAGGGGAAGGGGCAGGAGCCGGGCACAGUUGGAUGCGGAGGUCGUGACCCAGGGGAAAGCGUGGGCGGGCGACCCAGGGCAGCUGCGGCGGCGAGGCAGGUGGGCUCCUUGCUCCCUGGAGCCGCCCCUCCCCACACCUGCCCUCGGCGCCCCCAGCAGUUUUCACCUUGGCCCUCCGCGGUCACUGCGGGAUUCGGCGUUGCCGCCAGCCCAGUGGGGAGUGAAUUAGCGCCCUCCUUCGUCCUCGGCCCUUCCGACGGCACGAGGAACUCCUGUCCUGCCCCACAGACCUUCGGCCUCCGCCGAGUGCGGUACUGGAGCCUGCCCCGCCAGGGCCCUGGAAUCAGAGAAAGUCGCUCUUUGGCCACCUGAAGCGUCGGAUCCCUACAGUGCCUCCCAGCCUGGGCGGGAGCGGCGGCUGCGUCGCUGAAGGUUGGGGUCCUUGGUGCGAAAGGGAGGCAGCUGCAGCCUCAGCCCCACCCCAGAAGCGGCCUUCGCAUCGCUGCGGUGGGCGUUCUCGGGCUUCGACUUCGCCAGCGCCGCGGGGCAGAGGCACCUGGAGCUCGCAGGGCCCAGACCUGGUUUGGAAAAGCUUCGCUGACUGCAGCCCUGGCACCAUUCUUGGCAUGAAAGUGCUCAGCCA